rnacentral:rRNA from 1 species
AUUGAACGCUGGCGGCAUGCCUUACACAUGCAAGUCGAACGGCAGCACGGGUGCUUGCACCUGGUGGCGAGUGGCGAACGGGUGAGUAAUACAUCGGAACAUGUCCUGUAGUGGGGGAUAGCCCGGCGAAAGCCGGAUUAAUACCGCAUACGCUCUACGGAUGAAAGCGGGGGCCCUUCGGGCCUCGCGCUAUAGGGUUGGCCGAUGGCUGAUUAGCUAGUUGGUGGGGUAAAGGCCUACCAAGGCGACGAUCAGUAGCUGGUCUGAGAGGACGACCAGCCACACUGGGACUGAGACACGGCCCAGACUCCUACGGGAGGCAGCAGUGGGGAAUUUUGGACAAUGGGCGAAAGCCUGAUCCAGCAAUGCCGCGUGUGUGAAGAAGGCCUUCGGGUUGUAAAGCACUUUUGUCCGGAAAGAAAUGCUUGGCCCUAAUACGGUCGGGGGAUGACGGUACCGGAAGAAUAAGCACCGGCUAACUACGUG